AAGUGUGUUAUAGCUCUUUUACAAUCUGUCUAGCAGACGUUCUGACUUUUUCUUGAACACCCCU